rnacentral:rRNA from 1 species
AUCUGGAAGAAUCUGGAGACAGGUGCUGCAUGGCUGUCGUCAGGCUCGUGUCGUGAGAUGUUGGGUUAAGUCCCGUAACGAGCGCAACCCUUGUCCUUAGUUACCAGCACGUUAUGGUGGGCACUCUAAGGAGACUGCCGGUGACAAACCGGAGGAAGGUGGGGAUGACGUCAAGUCAUCAUGGCCCUUACGGCCUGGGCUACACACGUGCUACAAUGGUCGGUACAAAGGGUUGCCAAGCCGCGAGGUGGAGCUAAUCCCAUAAAACCGAUCGUAGUCCGGAUCGCAGUCUGCAACUCGACUGCGUGAAGUCGGAAUCGCUAGUAAUCGUGAAUCAGAAUGUCACGGUGAAUACGUUCCCGGGCCUU